GACGAACGCUGGCGGCGUGCUUAACACAUGCAAGUCGAACGGAAAGGCCCUGCUUUUGUGGGGUGCUCGAGUGGCGAACGGGUGAGUAACACGUGAGUAACCUGCCCUUGACUUUGGGAUAACUUCAGGAAACUGGGGCUAAUACCGGAUAGGAGCUCCUGCUGCAUGGUGGGGGUUGGAAAGUUUCGGCGGUUGGGGAUGGACUCGCGGCUUAUCAGCUUGUUGGUGGGGUAGUGGCUUACCAAGGCUUUGACGGGUAGCCGGCCUGAGAGGGUGACCGGCCACAUUGGGACUGAGGUACGGCCCAGACUCCUACGGGGGGCAGCAGUGGGGAAUCUUGCACAAUGGGCCCAAGCCUGAUGCAGCAACGCCGCGUGCGGGAUGACGGCCUUCGGGUUGUAAACCGCUUUCGCCUGUGACGAAGCGUGAGUGACGGUAAUGGGUAAAGAAGCACCGGCUAACUACGUG
rnacentral:rRNA from 1 species